rnacentral:rRNA from 1 species
GACGAACGCUGGCGGCGUGCUUAACACAUGCAAGUCGAACGAAGAGCGAUGGAAGCUUGCUUCUAUCAAUCUUAGUGGCGAACGGGUGAGUAACGCGUAAUCAACCUGCCCUUCAGAGGGGGACAACAGUUGGAAACGACUGCUAAUACCGCAUACGAUCUAAUCUCGGCAUCGAGGAUAGAUGAAAGGUGGCCUCUACAUGUAAGCUAUCACGGAAGGAGGGGAUUGCGUCGGAUUAGCUAGUUGGAGGGGUAAGGGGCCACCAAGGCGAUGAUCAGUAGCCGGUCUGAGAGGAUGAACGGCCACAUUGGGACUGAGACACGGCCCAGACUCCUACGGGAGGCAGCAGUGGGGAAUCUUCCGCAAUGGACGAAAGUCUGACGGAGCAACGCCGCGUGAGUGAUGACGGCCUUCGGGUUGUAAAGCUCUGUUAAUCGGGACGAAAGGCCUUCUUGCGAAUAGUGAGAAGGAUUGACGGUACCGGAAUAGAAAGCCACGGCUAACUACGUG